AGCAGCCGCGGUAAUUCCAGCUCCAAUAGCGUAUAUUAAAGUUGUUGCAGUUAAAAAGCUCGUAGUUGAAUUUCGGGAUCAAUAUGUCGGUCGUGCCUUCGGUACGUACUGGUAUCAUUGGUCUCUCCUUUCUGACGAACCAUGAUGUCAUUAAUUUGGUGUUAUGGGGAGUUAGGACUGUUACUUUGAAAAAAUUAGAGUGUUUAAAGCAGGCUUUAGCUUGAAUACAUUAGCAUGGAAUAAUGAAAUAGGACGUUCGAACCUAUUUUGUUGGUUUCUAGGAUCAACGUAAUGAUUAAUAGGGAUAGUUGGGGGCAUUAGUAUUCAAUUGUCAGAGGUGAAAUUCUUGGAUUUAUUGAAGACUAACUACUGCGAAAGCAUUUGCCAAGGAUGUUUUCAUUAAUCAAGAACGAAAGUUAGGGGAUCGAAGACGAUCAGAUACCGUCGUAGUCUUAACCAUAAACUAUGCCGACUAGGGAUCGGAUGAUGUUUAAUUUUUAAUGACUCAUUCGGCGCCUUA
rnacentral:rRNA from 1 species